CCGGGUCAGCGCAACCUCCCGGUCAAGCGCAGCGCGCGCUCAAGUGUUGC
rfam:Novosphingobium subterraneum strain DSM 12447 NJ75_contig000018, whole genome shotgun sequence.